ensembl:lncRNA LINC02612 long intergenic non-protein coding RNA 2612
ACAGAGCAUUAGCACCCAAGCAGGACCUGCUGAACCUGGGGCCCUAUAGGAGAGCACUGAUGGCCCACCCCUGAUUGUGGCCCUGGUCUUCAUGUCUGCAUCAGCCUCAGCCAUCUCAAGACCACAACAGGAACAUAGCCAAGUCAGAGAAGGAAGACCAAAAGCACCAGGGCCCUUCAUAUUAUUAAGCUGCUAAAUUAACUAAUCUUGGAAACUUCUAGACUCUACAAUUCUUGUUGUAUGAGAAAUCAUCUACUACAUAAAAUUCUGGUUUCAUACUUGGCCAUUCCUGCUUAACGGAGCUAACAAAGAAAUUUAAGUACUUUUCUCCCAGAUGAAAGAUGCUGGAUGCUGGCAUUGCUGACACUUCUGAUGUGAGGCCAAGGAGAUCAAUGCAGGAGGAGACCUCUUAAACAGGGGCUUUAUCAAGAAUGGCCUACCACAUUCAUCCAUUGGCCCGCUACCAUCUUUGAUGUCCAAGCCAGCUAGAUCAAGACAUGAUUGUGUUUUUAACUAGCAUUCAACCUUUAGGUUUUACAAUAGAAUUAUUUCCCCAAAUCUGCCAUGUGCUGUUUUCUAGAGUGGAUUGACAAUUAUUCUCUGGACUUUUUGGUAACCAAGAACUUCUAGCAACUAACCCUGGCAUGACCACCAGAAUCUGCAGGGCUGAGAGAAGAAAGAAAGGCAAAAGUGGAUGAAUGCAGCUGAAGAUGCUGUGGAACUCCUAUCACAUUCCAAGUGCUGUGUUGAUAUCUGGAGAUAUAGACAAGAUCGAAGCAGAUGCAGUCUUUCACAUGAAUAUUUGAAUCAGGCAGUAUGUUCCCCAAAUUAGCAAAGUAUCUCCCAGAUUUUUUCUUUGAUGAUAUAUUUGAAAUCCUAAUGCUGAAAGUUAAAUUAUCAGGGUUUUAAAACUAGAAGCAGUCAUUAUCAGAAUUUUAUAUACUAUUUAUUUUUAAGAACGUAAUUUGACUGUUUAAGUCUUAUUAUAAUUUUAAGUGAAGUACUUUGGGCAGUCAUAAAUAAAGUAAUGGGCAGGUAUUUAGUAUUCAUAUUGUGUGGAUUCAUAUCCAUACUCUGCCACUCAGUAUCUCUGGGAUUUUGAUGAAUGAUCAAACUCUCUGAGCCUCAGUUUUCUAAUCUGUAAAGCAGAAAUGAUAAUGGUAUGUAGUGAUAAUUAAACAAUUUACUAGUUGUAAGUGCUUAGAACAGUUCCUGGAAUAGAGAAAAUUUGCAGAGAGAUUUUUAUUGUUUACAAUUUAGUUAAUGGAAUGGCUUCAAUAAUACAGUAAAAUUAAGAUAUUCAAACAAGCAGGAUGCAGGUGAUGGGUAUUGGCCUCAGCUUUAGAGACCAGAGGUUAAAUCUCAGUGCUGCCUGCCACAAAACGAUCCAUGUAAGUCAAUAAACAAUGCUUUUUAAAA